UCCUGGACCGUCGCCACGACCUCAGAACGGAUGAUGGGCCAGUAUUGCCUGAAAAAUAAGGAAAAAAAUCCAUCAGAUCUGGAAGCCUUAUCUUCCACCAUCGACCAGAGCAUCGAUCGAACCUCUUCCUCCGUCACUACACCAAUGAGAUCGAUGUUCUCUUGCUUAGUAACCACCCUCUCUAGGGGAAGAGUAUUGCGGUGCGAACUCUCCUUAAGAGAUGAAAUCCACCAA
rnacentral:lncRNA from 1 species